UACGUAGGCAGCAAGCGUUGUUCGGAGUUACUGGGCGUAAAGGGUGCGUAGGCGGCUUUUUAAGUUUGGUGUGAAAUCUCCCGGCUCAACUGGGAGGGUGCGCCGAAUACUGAGAAGCUAGAGUGUGGGAGAGGAAAGUGGAAUUCCUGGUGUAGCGGUGAAAUGCGUAGAUAUCAGGAGGGACACCAAUAGCGAAGGCAGCUCGCUGGGACGUUACUGACACUGAGGCGCGAAAGCGUGGGGAGCGAACAGG
rnacentral:rRNA from 1 species